rnacentral:rRNA from 1 species
UACGGGGGGAGCAAGCGUUGUUCGGAUUUACUGGGCGUAAGGGCGCGUAGGCGGUCAGCACAAGUCAGUUGUGAAAUCUCCGGGCUUAACUCGGAAAGGUCAACUGAUACUGUGCGACUAGAGUGCAGAAGGGGCAACUGGAAUUCUCGGUGAGCGGGUGAAAAUGCGUAGAUAUCGAGAGGAACACCUGCGGCGAAGGCGGGUUGCUGGCUGACACUGACGCUGAUGCGCGAAAGCCAGGGAGCGAACGGG